GAUAGAAAAUUUUAUUUUCAUCGAUGAGCCGUUACUAGUGUUUCUAUGAACCGCAAUCCAUCGAACCUCGGUGCAAAUUUCUCGGGGGGGCUACAACUUGUCUUGUCCGCAGAAGUACCCGACGGGUGUCGACCGGAUGUUAGAGGAUCCUACACAACCAAAACCAAAGAUAUUAGGUAGUUUACAUAAGGAUAGCAGGUAGACGAGCAACAAACUGCGCCACCAUCCCUUUCUGAAUAGAAAACAUGAUGAAAUAAGAGGGUUUACCGGGUGGGAAGAUUUGAUGCCGGUAAGGACGGUGGUGGCGGCCAUGGAAGCUGCUAAAAAUCCUGGAGUCUUCAUGGUAGUUAAGAGGGAGGUUGUGGAGUUUGAUAAUAGGAGAAGUGGUUGGUAUAUAUAUUGGGUGUGUUUUUGUUUUAAGCGGCAACGAAAUACUCGUGUCUGGGCUCUUUUUUUAUUGGAUUUUUAAGGUUAUAACUUUAUGUGUGGUUGCUUGCGUCUUUA